rnacentral:pre_miRNA from 1 species
GGCACCUUGAGGGAACGACGGCUUCGACAUCUUGUUGUUAAAAACAACAUUUAAUCAACAAGAUGUCGAAGCCGUCGUUCCCUCAAGGUGCC